rnacentral:rRNA from 1 species
CCUUUACGACGAUAGCGGUGGCAGGAGGAGCAGUCGCCGACGAAAAAGGAUCUUUGCUUACGCCCRACGACAAACAUUAACAACCGCCGCCCUCGGCUCGGACGAGACGACCCGCUGAACUUAAGCAUAUCGCUAAGCGGAGGAAAAGAAACCAACCGGGAUUCCCUUAGUAACGGCGAGUGAACCGGGAGAAGCCCAACGCCGAAUCCCGUCGCAAGUAAAAGGCUUCGGGACGUGUGGCGCAUGGGUCGGAGACAGCCGCUCGUUUUCGUCUCGCGUAGUUCGGAGUUCCCUCGAUCGGGGCCGCCCGUGGCGGGUGCCAGGCCCAUUCGGUGCGGACGGCGAGCGACGGUCUUCGAUCCGAGAGUCGGGUUGCUUGGGAACGCAGCCCAAAUCGGGUGGUAAGCUCCAUCCAAGGCUAAAUACCGGGACGAGUCCGAUAGUCGACAAGUACCGUGAGGGAAAGUUGAAAAGAACUUUGGAGAGAGAGUUCAAGAGAACGUGAAACCGCCCAGGGGUAAACGGGUGGGACCGCUCACCGCGAUCGCGGGGGGACUCAGUCCGGUGCUGCCGUAGUAGCCCAAACUCGGGCGGCGGCUUUGUCCGUCGUCAGGCCGUGUCGGUGUGGUGUCGUCGGACCGCGGUGGUAAAACGCCGCGGUUCGUUAGCUUUUGCGCUCGCGCCGUCGACGGAGGAGUCGGGCCGCGGAGAUAUUCGUUUCCCUCUUCGCGCGCGCCUCAUACCCCCCUUCUUCUCUGCUCGGCAAUCAUGACGCGGGCGCUUCGGCGCGACCACCGCACGGUCGGCACCGUACGCACUUCCCCUCCGGUCCGUCGUCGCGACCCGUUCCCGGCGUGCAGGUCGACGCGCGGAGUCUCGUGGGCGGUGGACGAUCCACAUGCCUCUGUUACCUCUCCUUUCGGGGCGGGGUUUCUGGGGCCGUCCGCCGUCGGGCCCGCGAACGUACUGCCGCCUUCUGCCGGGGACGGAGGAACUGACGCGAUCCGUUAUACGUGGCGAGCCGGUUCGUUUUCUCGCUCUCGGGCGGGGAUCGAACUCGUCGGUACUUUUCCCUUGCGCGGGGGGACGUUUACGUCUCUCCUUCGGCACCCCACCGUCUCGGGUGUGCGCCGAGGGUUAAUCACGGCGGGACGAGAACCGGCGCGGCCGCACCGUCGCCUACGCACCCGGUCGUCGCGCAGGUCUUGGCUGACGCGGCGUGCAAGCGUCGUUUCUGCCGCCUGCGCGGCUUGGUCGGGUAGCUCGGUGCCGCUUCUUCCUUUGUUGGAUAGCAGCCGUCCGCCACCUCGGGUCAGCGACGUGCAUCGGCAACCCACCCGACCCGUCUUGAAACACGGACCGAGGAGUCCUGGCCGUUCGCGAGUCGUAGGGGCACCUUUCACGAACCCCGAAGGCGUAGCGAAAGCGAGAGAGCGCGUAGGAGGGCGCCGGUCUUGGAGAGGUGUCGCGGCGAGGCGGGCCGUUGGUCGCGUGUGUGCGGUUCUCCGUCGCGCGUGGUCAGCUCCGUCGAGCCGUGCCCGAUCCUGCCGGUGCGGUGUCGGGCCUUCCUCCGUCUUCGCGUCGUUUCGCUCUGUUGCCUUGCCGUCCUUUCUCCGUCCUCGUGGCGGUGGGGGGAAGAACGGGCGACGGGGUCGGCGUGUAAGGCGGGCGGUCGCAGUUUUUUUCUGGGGACGUCUUCGCCGCCUCGUUUCGCGGGGACGUUCGUUCGGCGCCAGCCUCAUCCUCCUUGCGCCCAUCGGUGAGAUCCCGCGGCUUGAACUGGUUCCAUUUUGUGUCACCGGGUUUAGGCGCUGCGCGCGGGCGCAUCACCCCCGGGUCGGAUCCUUUACCGAGUACGACUCGGCCGACUCUGGCGUAGCGAGCGGCCAGGGACCCGAAAGAUGGCGAUCCACGCCCGGUCGGGAUGAAGCCAGAGGAAACUCUGGUGGAAGUCCGAAGCGCCUCUGACGUGCAAAUCGAUCGUCGGAACCGGGUGUAGGGGCGAAAGACCAAUCGAGCCGUCUAGUAGCUGGUUCCCUCCGAAGUUUCCCUCAGGAUAGCUGGCGUUCGACGUGUCGCAAUUCCAUCCGGUAAAGCGAACGAUUGGAGGCCCCGGGGCCGUUCACGGCCUCGACCUACUCUCGAACUCGGAACGGGUGGAACGGGUCGACUCUCCCGAACUCGGAGCCGACCCCGCCUUUUUCUCGUCGUUCGUCGUCGUCGUCRCCGUUUUCGGACGGUGGCGGCGGCAUCAGGCGGGCGGCGGGAGGAUGACGAAUGCGAGUGCCAAGUGGGCCACUUUUGGUAAGCAGAACUGGCGCUGUGGGAUGAACCAAACGUCCGGCUAAGGUGCCUAACGCGACGCCCAUGAGAUCCCCGAAAGGGUGUCGGUCGAUAUAGACAGCAGGACGGUGGCCACGGAAGUCGGAAUCCGCUAAGGAGUGUGUAACAACUCACCUGCCGAAUCGACCGGCCCCGAAAAUGGAUGGCGCUGGAGCGACGGACCGAUGCCGGACCGUCGCGGCGAGGAGCGCGUUUUUUUGUGUGUGGCGCGCCGAGACGAUGCCGCGACGAGUAGGAGGGCGCCGCGGCGAGCACGGAAGCCUAGGGCGCGAGCCCGGGUGGAGCCGACCGCGGGUGCAGAUCUCGGUGGUAGUAGCAAAUAUUCGAACGAGACCUUCGAAGACCGAAGUGGAGAAGGGUUCCGUGCCAACGGCGGUCGAGCACGGGUCAGUCGGUCCUAAGACGCAGGCGAAAGUCUUCCCGAAAGGCGCCGGAUCCGUUAGUAAAAGUAAAAGUGGUGGUGGUGGUGGUUGGUUAUGACGUCGACUAUAACAUCAUGACCCGCGCCCCAUGACCAUAACAACAGACACACAGCGGCCGGCCUCUCGUCGAAAGGGAAUCGGGUUAAUAUUCCCGAACCCGGACUCGGAGAGGGCCCGGGGGCGCGGCCCCUUCGCAGGCAGCAAUGUCGGCGGAGGGCGUCCGUCGCUUCUCGGGCGAAACCGCGGCGACGCAAGCGAGCCCGGAGACGUCGCCGGGAGCCCCGGGAAGAGUUCUCUCUUCUUCGUAAAGGACCGUGUCCGUGGAAUCGGCUCGUCCGGAGAUACGGAAAAGGUACCUGUAGAGCGCCGCGGCUCGGGCGGCGUCCGGUGCGCUUUCGGCGGCCCUGGAAAAUCCGGGUCCGGUUUUCGCAGCUCUCGAGUCGGUCCGUACCCACCAUCCGCAGCAGGUCUCCAAGGUGUACAGCCUCUCGUCGAUGGCAUCAAUGUAGGUAAGGGAAGUCGGCAAAAUGGAUCCGUACCUUCGGAAGAAGGAUUGGCUCCGAGGACCGGGUCGGUCGGGCCGUGUCCGCGCGAAGCGAGGAACCGGUACGGGGCUGUAGCGUUGGCUCCGUUCGCGCUUUGCGGUGGGGCACAGGGCCGCGCGGCGGUCCACGACACGAUCGGCGGCCGGGCAUGUCGCUUGGUUGUUGCGCGGGCGGCAAAGAAAUGACACGGGUGGGCAAGGGGAUGACGCCUACGGCGUCAGUGGGCGUGGGCGGUGGCGUCCGCCGCCCCUGGCUGCGGAGAGCGGCUGCGGUCGCUUUUCGCCGGCUUUUGGGGAGGCGCGCUGCCCGCUUCCGCGCUAACCGGCGUCGGCCUACGGGCGCCGUUCCCGAACCCUCUCUUUUUCUUUGCCCUCUCGUCGGCCGUUUGCGGCGUGUCUCGUCGGUCUGUGUCGCGGUUUUUCCGUCCGUGGUACCGCCCUGUCGCUACCGGCGCGUCGGUCGGCUAGCAAAACGGCUCCUCGCCCGGGUCUUCGUGGAGCGCCACGGCUUCCAGCCCCUCUUCGGGCGCGCGCGCGCGCGGGUCGAGGGUUGUGUUCGCGCACAGCUCUUUUCUUCUCGUCGUCGUCGCGUUGUUGCUCGUUGUUCGGCGCCUUUCCCGGCGUGGGGGCGUUCGUCCGGCAGCGAACGGUCGACUCGGAACUGGUACGGACCGGGGGAAUCCGACUGUCUAAUUAAAACAAAGCAUCGUGUGGCCGGUCGACCCGUACAGACACGAUGUGAUUUCUGCCCAGUGCUCUGAAUGUCAAAGUGAAGAAAUUCAACCAAGCGCGGGUAAACGGCGGGAGUAACUAUGACUCUCUUAAGGUAGCCAAAUGCCUCGUCAUCUAAUUAGUGACGCGCAUGAACGGAUCAACGAGAUUCCCACUGUCCCUACCUACUAUCUAGCGAAACCACAGCCAAGGGAACGGGCUUGGAACGAUCGGCGGGGAAAGAAGACCCUGUUGAGCUUGACUCUAGUCCGACUCUGUGAGGAGACACGGGAGGUGUAGCAUAGGCGGGAGACGGGCCUUUGUCGGCGUCGGAUGCACGACGUGCCGGGGCUUUCCGUUGCGGUGCGGGUGUGGGGCGCAUCUCCGUUCCGGGUCGGACGGUGGCGUUCGUUGCGGCGGUUAAGCGGUGGGGGGUUGCGUGCGCGUGUGCGGCGCCCGUCGUCGUUGCGUGUGCGUGGCUUCUUGCUGCCGCCGCCGU